UCCCUCAUAUCUCAGUGGAUGAAGAAUCUGCCUGCAAUGCAGGAAACUCGGGUUCGAUUCCUGGAUUGGGAA
rfam:TPA: Bos taurus chromosome 5, whole genome shotgun sequence.